GACGAACGCUGGCGGCGUGGAUUAGGCAUGCAAGUCGGACGGUAGGGCUUUAUCGUAAGAUAGAGUUUGAGAGUGGCGAACGGGUGAGUAACACGUAGGAAUCUACCCUUAAGACGGGGACAACCCAGGGAAACUUGGGCUAAUACCGGAUGAGAGUGCGAGAGAUUGCAUUUAAAAGGAUGGCGAAAGUUGUCGCUUAGGGAUGAGCCUGCGGUCUAUUAGUUAGUUGGUGAGGUAAGAGCUCACCAAGGCGAUGAUAGAUAGGCGGCCUUAACGGGUGGUCGCCCACACUGGGGAUUGAGAUACGGCCCAGACUCCUACGGGAGGCAGCAGUCGAGAAUAGUCUACAAUGGCCGGAAGGCUGAUAGUGCGACGCCGCGUGAACGAGGGAGCCCUUCGGGGUCGUAAAGUUCGUUUUCUAUUACGAGCAGUGCUAUAUAUAUGGAUAGUAUAUAUAGAGGGAUAGUAGUAUAGGAAUAAGCAACGGCUAACUCCGUGCCAGCAGCCG
rnacentral:rRNA from 1 species